rnacentral:rRNA from 1 species
AAAACAGGAUUGAACGCUGGCGGCGUGCUUAACACAUGCAAGUCGUGCGAGAAAGGGGGCUUCGGUCCCUGAGUAGAGCGGCGCACGGGUGAGUAACGCGUGGAUUAUCUACCCAGAUAUUCGGGAUAACGGCGGGAAACUGCCGCUAAUACCGGAUACGCUCCAAUUUCGGUUGGGGGAAAGGCGGCCUCUGCUUGCAAGCUGUCGUAUCUGGAUGAGUCCGCGUCCCAUUAGCUUGUUGGUGGGGUAAUGGCCUACCAAGGCUACGAUGGGUAGCUGGUCUGAGAGGAUGAUCAGCCACACUGGAACUGAAACACGGUCCAG